rnacentral:lncRNA from 1 species
UAGUGUACUGUACUGUAACGCAUAUUUCCCUUUAGCUCAACUGGCUGGGUCCCUGUUGAGUGAUGUCGGAGGCCUGGGUUCGAGUCCCCAUGGGUGGCAGCAGUGAGGGCGCAUACCCACGUGAACCCGAGAGCGUUACAGUAUAUACCUGUGCACAAUCACACAGGGAACGCAGUGCUCUGUUAGCCCCAGAGAGCGCCCCCUGGAGAGACAAGCGCAUGACAGAAGCCUGAGCAGUGGGGCAGCAGCUCACCACUGGGUCUCUACAGAUCUGUUCAACACAGAAACAGAGCUGACAAUCGCUGCCCGGCCGGCUCUGCGGGCCUCCCCGGAGCUGGCUCGGCGCUGUGCUGCUAGUGUGUUCUGGGCUCACAGGCACCCGAACCGCUACAACUACUCGUAUUGUAAAGCACAUUCACCAGCUUGCGGUUUUGAUCCGUUUUCACAGAGUACCCCAGUCGCCAGUCCUCUCUUCACUGGUUUUCUAUCCAAACUCACUCACCAUGGCGGCGGCUCGGCUUCGAGGGGAGCAACCAGGAUGAUCCCAGAACCAGGAAAGACGCAGGAGGACGAGGAAGAACGACAGAGACCGGGACAGACCGACGACUCGCACCGCCCAGAAUCACAACAGGCUGCUAGUGUUGACAGCCAUUGUCGCCACGCUCGUCUCCUAGCAACGCCUCGAUCUGCUCCCGGAACCGGAACAGGUCUCGGCGGGAAACAAAGGGCGGCGGUUUGUUCGUCUUCUCCUUGUCUGCCACGGCCAGCGCGAUUUCCCAGCAUGCUCUGCUGUCAGAAGGUGGUUUGUGUGAGUGGCCGGAGAGGAAGAGGAAGAGGAAGAUGCCGCAGGGUUUCGGUGUCGGGGUGCCGCCCGCGCUGGGCUGCAGCGCCGGUCUGGAAGCCGGGCCGUGGGCAAGCCUGGCGGCCCGUCCGAGGCCCAGUUCUCCGAGAUCUGCCUCUGCGCCGGCAGCAGCCCUGUGUGGUUCCGCUGUCCGAGUGAAGCAUCACACCCCACACCAGGUUCUCAGGACCAGCUCUUUAUUACAGCACCCUGGGCAGAGAGCAGGGCAGCUCCACCACCAGCCAGACAGCAGUGUGAGCUGAGU